ACAAGGGCCAGUCUGAGAGCCUUACUCAUUGGGGCGGCGGGAUUGCCUAUCAUGGUGUCGCCACAGGACAAUGUUGAAGCGGGUGAGAGCGUGUGAGGCCAUCUGCGGGCUUCUCCCCGUGGCCUUGUCACGGCUUCAUUUCUCCUGGACCGUGGGUGUCUCCCUCACCCCAGGAGGUUCAGGCAGGCAGCCGGAAGAGCUGGGGGUGGGGAGGGUCCUGGCACCUGUCCAGCCCACCUGCUGCUUUGAACCCUGGGACUCCCCCUGCCUGACUUUCCUCUGCAUCUGUGUGCUUGUUGGCUGCUACGGUAUUUGUUGUUUUUUAUCUACAAAGUACCAUAAAGUUCCUGGUUAAAAAAGAGAAAAGUCAAAACCUCAAAGGCUUGGAAAGUAGAAAAUUCAGUUCUCCAGGGCACCUCCCAAGAAUCUCCAGGGUUCCCACGAAGGCAGGGGCCCUGAGGUGUGCCCAGCCCGUGGGACGGACCGGUGUCUGGGACCCUGGGGUGCCCAAUGUUUAUUGAAUAAACAAAGGAAUUAUGAACGAAUGAGCAGUUUGGGAAGCAUUUUCCAGUAUUUUCUCUCUGUGCCUACCAGCGUAAACAUAGAAAAAAUAUGGGGUCAUGGUAUAAAUGCGGUUCUGAAUGCUUGAAAAAAAUUGAACAAUUCCUUGCGGGGACUUGUCCCUGUUACUUUAUACCAGGGUUUCUCAAGUGUGGCACUAUUGGUGUUCAGGGUUGGGUCAGGACUCGUUGGGGGCAGUCCUGUGUACCACAGGAUGGACAGCAUCCCUGGCCUCGCCCACCAAGAUGCCAGUACCACACUCUCCACUGAACAAUAAUAAUACAGGUUUCUAGGUGUUAUCGAACGCCCCCUGGGGGGCAAGAUCGCCCCCCACUGGAGAAACCAUAGAUUUACAGACCUGCUUCUCUUCUUGGCUCUCAGAGUAUUCCAAGAGUGUGGCUGUGGGAUCUUUAAGCUCAUUUGUCAACGAUGCUGAGUUGUUUCCGGUCCCUUGCAAGGGGCCCACCGGAGCACUUGUGUGUUUCCACAGGACACUUUCCAGAAGUGGGACACCGCUGAGCUGAAGCCGGGGCGCCCUCGCAUGCAUCUGUGUCCCCAGCGAAGAGGCAUGACAGGGCCCGCCUCACUGCGGGCUCCGUGGCGAUGGGAAUUCACCUCUCCAGUCGUUGCCAAUUCGAUGCGGUUUAUGGGCAGUGGCAUUUCUUAUUUUGUUCUCUUGUAGAACUGUAUUGAUCGUUCCUUCCAAGAAAAUGUGAAGUAAGAGCAGUGAUCACAAGGAGCCCCCCCUUUGGGCUCCGACUUGAGUGGUGUACUUGGAGAAACGCUCCUCCCAGAGAUAGGGGCCCCCUGAGAACACGCUUACCAGCCUCCCUUACAGUUGAGGGGCCACGUGGCAGAGUUCUGGCCAAUGGAACCAGAGUGAAACCUUGAUGGCGCUUCCAGGCCUGGCCCGCGUACCCUCAGGUCCCCUCCUGCAGGGAUUGGCUGACAUUUCUGCAGAGGGCUGGUUCGUCGGUUUCCGGAUGCCAGAUGGCCAGGAACUGCAGAGGACCCAGAGGGAGAAAGAACCGUGCCUCUCGUGGAGGUCCCAGAAGAUGGCGAGGCCACGGGACUCGGCUGUCCCUUUGGGGAGUGAUGCGUGUGCUCCCCGUCGGACAGGAAGCAGGGGCUGGUUCUUCCAGGACCAGACGGGCAGCUCGUGACGGGGACUAGCUGGCUGCCCUCCCACCGUAACCCGUCUGCUGCCUGUUGCGCGUCAGGACCACGUCUCCUACUUUCCUUGUCGUUAGAUGUGGCCAUUGGCCGUGGGCUGAAUGUUUGUGUCCCACCCCCCAAGUUCAUAUGUUGAGAUCUUAGCCCCAAUUGUGAUGCUAUCAGGAGGUAGGGGCUCUGGGAGGUGAUGAGGUCAUGAGGGGGGAGCCCUCGUGAAUGGGAUUAACGCCCUGAGAGAGGGACCCCAGAGGGCUCCCUGCCCCUCUUGCCGCGCGAGGAGCCGUCCGUGAAGCAGGAAGCAGGUCUCACCGGACACCGAAUCUUGAUCUUAGACCUGCCAGUUUCCAGAACUGUGAGAGGAAAUAUUUGUUGUUUGUAGGCCGCCCGGCCUGUGGUAUUUUGUCGGGGCAGCCUGAAGGGACCAAGACAGGCGGAGUUCUGGCCAGUGGAAGUGACAUUUGUGCCGAUCAUAAAAGCCCACAAAACCUUCCACGUUGUUUUCCGCGUGCUCUCCAGGCUGCCGGACACACAUGCCCGAGGCCACUUGGAAACCAUGUGCUAAAGAUGGCGGGGGCUGUUCCCUUGAUGACUUUGUGGGACACAGUGCCAGUUGGAUUCUGCGGAGGAAAAAAGGCGUCUCCCUUGUGAACCCUUGGGUUUCUGUGUCAGAGCGGCUGAUAUCACCCCCACUGGAAUCCAGGGAAAACUCUGGAAGCUGUGAGGCUCGCUCGGUCUGGAGAGAGGGGUGGGGGAGAAGGCAACCAGGCAGGACCCUGGGAACAUCAGUGCCCUGAGGCUGGGCAAAGGGAGGUGGCCACAAGGUAGGCUGAGAAGUAGGCACGAGGAGACUGAGGGCGCUGGGGGCGGGGGGUGCCCGGAAGGAACCCUGUUAAAACUCUAUUUUGUGGGGCGCCUGGGUGGCUCAGUGCUUUAAGCAUCUGACUUCUGCUCAGGUCACGAUCUCGCGGGUCACGGGUUCAAGCCCCGUGUCGAGCUCUGUGCGGACAGCUCAAGAGACUGGAGCCUGCUUCAGACUCUGUGUCUCCCUCUCUGUCCUUCCCCACCUUGUGCUGUCUC